GGUAUGAUGACUGAGGUGGAGGAUUCUUGUAACUCUGGUAGUCUGGAUAGAUUUUGCAAUUCAGUUCUCUGUUUAGAGAAUAUACCCCUAACAGCCAAAAGGUGGUCCCUGAAACACAGUAUUGGUUAUGUACAAAGGGCAAUGUUGGUGGAGUGUUGUGAUACAAGUUGGAGCUGUAACAUUCCAUUGGUUUCCAUGGUGAUUGCUCCACUCACAACUAGAAUUACCUGACAUGUGCCCUUCACAGUGUAACCGAUAUAACAAGGUGUCCAUGCUCAUCCUUUAAGAUUUGCUGUCCUUAUAGUAUCAGAAGACCCAGCAUUCUGAAUGUCAGUAGUGAUAUGGCUCAG